rnacentral:rRNA from 1 species
GACGAACGCUGGCGGCGUGCUUAACACAUGCAAGUCGAACGGAAAGGCCCUGCUUUUGUGGGGUGCUCGAGUGGCGAACGGGUGAGUAACACGUGAGUAACCUGCCCUUGACUUUGGGAUAACUUCAGGAAACUGGGGCUAAUACCGGAUAGGAGCUCCUGCUGCAUGGUGGGGGUUGGAAAGUUUCGGCGGUUGGGGAUGGACUCGCGGCUUAUCAGCUUGUUGGUGGGGUAGUGGCUUACCAAGGCUUUGACGGGUAGCCGGCCUGAGAGGGUGAACGGGCACAUUGGGACUGAGAUACGGCCCAGACUCCUACGGGAGGCAGCAGUGGGGAAUAUUGCACAAUGGGCGGAAGCCUGAUGCAGCAACGCCGCGUGCGGGAUGACGGCCUUCGGGUUGUAAACCGCUUUCGCCUGUGACGAAGCGUGAGUGACGGUAAUGGGUAAAGAAGCACCGGCUAACUACGUG